AUCAUUUCUUCGCAUUUUGUUUAGAAUCAAGUGUGGUAUUUAUUGUACUCAAUUUAAUAUCUGAUUUGUUUUCUAAACGAGAGCGUAAUAUUAAGCAGAUUUUUUUUAGAACAAGGAGUUGGGGUAGGAAUUUGCUCUUUCAGUUCCAUAUACCAACCUGAUGUUGUAGUACUUCUAUCUUUGUUCUAGAAAAA